GACGGUACAGCUCAGUGGUAGAGCGCAUGCCUAGUAUGCGUGAGGUCCUGGGUUCCAUCUCCAGUACCUCCA
rnacentral:tRNA from 1 species